UACAGAGGGGGUAAGCGUUGUUCGGAAUUACUGGGCGUAAAGGGCUCGUAGGCGGCCAACUAAGUCAGACGUGAAAUCCCUCGGCUUAACCGGGGAACUGCGUCUGAUACUGGAUGGCUUGAGUUUGGGAGAGGGAUGCGGAAUUCCAGGUGUAGCGGUGAAAUGCGUAGAUAUCUGGAGGAACACCGGUGGCGAAGGCGGCAUCCUGGACCAACACUGACGCUGAGGAGCGAAAGCCAGGGGAGCAAACGGG
rnacentral:rRNA from 1 species